AUUACCGCUGCCCGUGACGUAAUCGCGCCUCAACAAUGUGCUCCAAGCCUCGCUCCCACUGCUUACACUGUCCGGACUUCCUGACUCACAAACAGAAGGAGCCAUACAGGAUCAAGAGACCACACACAGCUGACAUCUAGUGCGGAUGGUCGCCACACCGUGGGCCAGCCAGGACUUGUAUGCAGGUUAUACAGAAUUUCUAUGUUUGGAGCCUCAUAAACUAAAAUGCAACAAAAAGUAACCGUAGGGAGUACUUACAGGGAUAAUAGAGUCUUAUUUGCGUUGCUGAGGUACGUAUAAUCUCUGUGCCAACUUUUUAAUGAUAUGAAAGCCUCACAGGGUAUUUCUGGUAACUUGAUACAGUGAAAAACGUCUCUAUAUUUUCUGUUUGCAUAUUCACAUUCUUCUUGUUGGGAAUUCAAGUAAAAUCCACAUUCUGUAUUUACUUCCUGUUUUUUAUGAAUAAAUAAUCCGGUGUAGCCAAUAUAAUUGUAUCCCAUGUUCCUCCCUUUCCACAGCAGAGCUACCCCUUCACUGGGAUGCACUAGGAGAAUAGAUAUUUGUACUUGUCCUUCCCAAAAUAAUGUAAAAUAAAUAUUGUAAGAUCCAU